GCUUAAAGCGGCCGUAGCCGGUCUGAUAAGUCUCUGGUGAAAUCCCACAGCUUAACUGUGGGAAUUGCUGGAGAUACUAUCAUGACUCGAGGUCGGGAGAGGCUGGAGGUACUCCCAGGGUAGGGGUGAAAUCCUGUAAUCCUGGGAGGACCACCUGUGGCGAAGGCGUCCAGCUGGAACGAACCUGACGGUGAGGGACGAAAGCCAGGGGCGCGAACCGGAUUAGAUACCCGGGUAGUCCUGGCCGUAAACGAUGUGGACUUGGUGUUGGGAUGGCUUCGAGCUGCCCCAGUGCCGAAGGGAAGCUGUUAAGUCCACCGCCUGGGAAGUACGGCCGCAAGGCUGAAACUUAAAGGAAUUGGCGGGGGAGCACCACAACGCGUGGAGCCUGUGGUUUAAUUGGAAUCAACGCCGGACAUCUCACCAGGGGCGACAGCAGUAUGAUGGCCAGGUUGAUGACCUUGCUUGACAAGCUGAGAGGAGGUGCAUGGCCGUCGCCAGUUCGUACUGUGAAGCAUCCUGUUAAGUCAGGCAACGAGCGAGACCCGUGCCCACUGUUACCAGCAUGUCCUCCGGGACGAUGGGUACUCUGUGGGGACCGCCGAUGUUAAAUCGGAGGAAGGUGCGGGCUACGGUAGGUCCGCAUGCCCCUAA
rnacentral:rRNA from 1 species